GACAGAGGGGUGCAAAACGUUUGUUCGGAUUUACUGGGGCGUAAAGCGCGUGUAGGGCGGGCUUUGCAAGUCGGGAUGUGAAAGCCCCACGGGCUCAAACCCGUGGGAAGUGCAUCCGAAACUGCAUGGCUUGAGUCUCGGGAGAGGGAAGGGUGGGAAAUUGCUUUGGGUGUAGAGGGUGAAAAUUCGUAGAUAUCAAAGCAGAAACACCUGCGGGCGAAAGGGCGGGCC
rnacentral:rRNA from 1 species